UACGGGGGGAGCAAGCGUUGUUCGGAUUUACUGGGCGUAAAGGGCGCGUAGGCGGUCGUGACAAGUCACUUGUGAAAUCUCCGGGCUUAACUCGGAACGGUCAAGUGAUACUGUCGGACUAGAGUACAGAAGGGGCAACUGGAAUUCUCGGUGUAGCGGUGAAAUGCGUAGAUAUCGAGAGGAACACCUGCGGCGAAGGCGGGUUGCUGGGGCU
rnacentral:rRNA from 1 species